UACGGAGGGGGCAAGCGUUGUUCGGAAUUAUUGGGCGUAAAGGGCGCGUAGGCGGCUGGAUAAGUCUGACGUGAAAUCCCUCGGCCUAACCGAGGAACUGCCUUUGAUACUGAGGAGCUCGAGUCCGGGAGAGGUGAGUGGAACUGCGAGUGUAGAGGUGAAAUUCGUAGAUAUUCGCAAGAACACCAGUGGCGAAGGCGGCUCACUGGCCCGGUACUGACGCUGAGGUGCGAAAGCGUGGGGAGCAAACAGG
rnacentral:rRNA from 1 species